UAACAAAGCUGCCUUAAACAGUAUCUCCUCUUGACUGUAUUUCAUCAUUAUGGUCACCUGUGGCCAUCAAUGCACCUGCCCUGGUCCACUACACUCAGCUGAGCACAAGGCAUGGUCAGGUCUGUGGUGGCGUGUGGCCUGGUUGGAGAGACAGGAGGGGCACAUAAAAAGAUGGGUUCAUAAAACAAGAUAAUAUUUAAGUAAUAGAAAUAAUGGUGCUGAAGGUCAGAGGACAGGUUGAUCACUGAGGGCCAGGGGAGUUGAGAAAGGCCUUGAAAAGGUGUGACUUUAAGCUUGACCUUGAAGCUAGGAUUUACAUAAGUAUGGUAUGAGAAUAAAGGGUCCAGGGCGGAGAGGAGUGUGAUGUGUUAACAAUGAAAACUGACUAAGCUUAUUUUAUAGCAGAGAGCUGGGAGGUAGAGGGAACCUGUUAACUGACUAAUAGAACAGCCUAAGUCUCGAAACCUAGACCAGGACAAAAAAAAAGGGCACAGAUGGAUGCAAGAAAGUCUCAAAUGAAGAAUCAGCAGUCCCUGGUAGUGCCCGGUUGUCAUCUAGAGCAGAAAAAGCUGACUGACUCCUGAUCUAGGACCAUGGGACCAUUAGAAAGUCCCCCACUUUCAGAACUCAUACCCUGUCAGUAUUUCUGUUCAAGGGUGCUUCUGGAGUUUGCUGAACACAAACUAUCUGCAACAGUCUCACAUAUUAUUCAAUUCAAAUAAUAUGCUCAGAAGCCAAAAGCCAUGUUAAAGGUUGCCUCCACAGUCAGCCUCCAAAAACAAACAUUCCGGAGGCUGACAGAAAGUCUUGAGAUCAAAAUGAUUUGCAUUGAUCCAGAAAGGUCAGACCAAGGCGAUGUCCCAGGAGCCAGAAGUCAUUUCCAGCAUUGAUCACAGUUUGCACAUGUGGGACCUACUUAGAGUCAAGGCUUAUUUCGAGCAUUCUUUAAUUUAGACUUGACCCUCGGUGCAGUUCCAAAAUUGGACGAAAUGACAUGACCCAUUCUUCCAUUCUUUCUCAUCCCUUACUUUGCCUGGGCAGCCCUUACCUGUGCCUAAAACUCCUCUCAAGUGCAAUGGGUCUCAUCAGGGCGCCCUUCUUUGUCCUCCCACUAACCUGCCUUGUGCAUGACACAGGAUAGCCCGUCCCUCAUGCAUUCCUGAUGUUGCUUUUCUCGCCUGAAGUCCCCACCAUCUCUGUACCCAUCUCGUCCACCUCCUGGGUGCUCGGACACAUGGGCCAAGUGAAUGUAGUUAUUGGCUCUGCUUCUGAGAAGGUUCACACUGUUCUUAGGAUAUCUCUCCAUUGCUGCUCACUGUUUUCUCCACCUUCUCAUCCUCUGUAGCUCAUAUCUUCAUCUGUCUGGUUCCUUCUCUCAAAUAUUCUUGUUUUUAUUAGAGCACGUGUUGUCCUGUACCUAGAACUGAAACCACUCUAUUUUCACAUACCUACAACCCAGACUAGAGCCCAAAUCCCAAAGUAAUAGGAAAGCAGGUACCAUUUUGGGAGGUUUUCUCUGUGUGUGUAGAUUUCUUAAGUUAAAGACCCCCUCCCUCCCAAACAAACCCUGUAUUCACUCCCCUUUAGGUAUCUGUUGCAAAGUUGAGCAGGUGUUAAUAUUAAUCGUUUGUUAUUUAAAAUCAAACGAAGCCACUCGCAACAUGGAAGAAAUGGAAUAGCGUUUCAUUUAAUGCUUAUUCCCAGGAGCUGAGGACAGAAACUGGCGGCAGCAGCAACAGCGGAAUAUUCCAAUUCAUUCCUGCCCCAAAUGUGGAGAAGUUCUGCCCGACAUAGACACACUCCAGAUCCAUGUUAUGGACUGCAUCAUUUAAGUGUUCACAUCUCACUUCCCCCCAAACUGUUGGAGAAAGAAAAUAUGUUCUAAGUGGGACAUUUUCUGUGGAUUUCCUUAGAAUCCUGAACAUACCGCUUUUCUGAUAAUAGAUUCUUUCUUUUUUUUUUUUAUUGUUCCAUGUAUGUGGGCUGAACUGUUCAUGCAGUUAAUGAGCAUGUGACAUGGGACAGAGUAAAUAUAACCGAAGGAAGAGGCCUCACAGAUCAACUCUGAGAAUCUUUUAAGGAGGCAGGAAAAAUGAAGUGGUCACAGAUUUAAUCAAGAAAAGUAUCUUUGGAGUUUUUUUUUUAAAUAAAUUAUAUUGUUAUUUUUCUUCAUCCAUUUAAGACACGUCUAUAUGAGGUUGUGUGUAUGUUAUAGUUUUAUUGCUGCUGCAGUAAUUGUACCAAAGUUAUGAUGGGCCUGUUUUCAUACGAGUGCUGUGGGCUUUUACUUAAUCACGGGGACAAGUGAAAACAUACUGGCGUACAUGAGGAACAUACAUUAGGUUCACUGGUUUCAUUGUAGCCCCAGGUAUAUGGGUUUGUACAGUAGAUAGUUUAUUAAUUUCCCUGGAUGAGGCCAUAUAUUCAUAAUCACAAAAAUAGGUGUAUUGCAAAAUAAAAUUUUUCUUUGGAGUUGUUCACAUUGUUCAUAUAUGGUUGGCCACGUUCAUGGGAUGUUUCCCAUAUUCAGCUUCAAAUAAGCUUAAUACUUAUUCAAAUCUGUUUUGCAAAUUCUAUGAAUAUAAGCAACCCCCUUACUAAAGACUAGUAUGUGUUGUUUGAAUUAGAAAUUAAUCUUGCUAAGGAAGUGAAAAGAUAGGGAUUUGCUAUAUUUUGUAAUCCCACAGUUCACUGAGAUUAGCUAAUACUGGGCCAGUCAUAAAAGUAAACAGUGUCUUUGUGUGUCUAUAUCCUAAAACAUUUAGAAGAAAAUUAAAAGAUAUACUCUGUUUGGGUUUGUCAUAA